CGGAGGAUCCAAGCGUUAUCCGGAUUUAUUGGGUUUAAAGGGUGCGUAGGCGGAAUUGUGAGUCAGUGGUGAAAUCCCUUCGCCUAACGAAGGAACUGCCAUUGAUACUGCAAAUCUUGAGUACAUUUGAUGUGGGCGGAAUGUGUCAUGUAGCGGUGAAAUGCUUAGAUAUGACACAGAACACCGAUUGCGAAGGCAGCUCACAAAACUGUAACUGACGCUGAGGCACGAAAGCGUGGGUAUCAAACAGGAUUAGAUACCCUGGUAGUCCACGCUGUAAACCAUGAUUACUCGAUGUUUGCGAUACACUGUAAGCGUCUAAGCGAAAGCGAUAAGUAAUCCACCUGGGGAGUACGCUCGCAAGAGUG
rnacentral:rRNA from 1 species